GUGGGGAAUAUUGGACAAUGGGGGGAACCCUGAUCCAGCCAUGCCGCGUGUGUGAAGAAGGCCUUUUGGUUGUAAAGCACUUUAAGCGAGGAGGAGGCUACCGAGAUUAAUACUCUUGGAUAGUGGACGUUACUCGCAGAAUAAGCACCGGCUAACUCUGUGCCAGCAGCCGCGGUAAUACAGAGGGUGCGAGCGUUAAUCGGAUUUACUGGGCGUAAAGCGUGCGUAGGUGGCCAAUUAAGUCAAAUGUGAAAUCCCCGAGCUUAACUUGGGAAUUGCAUUCGAUACUGGUUGGCUAGAGUAUGGGAGAGGAUGGUAGAAUUCCAGGUGUAGCGGUGAAAUGCGUAGAGAUCUGGAGGAAUACCGAUGGCGAAGGCAGCCAUCUGGCCUAAUACUGACACUGAGGUGCGAAAGCGUGGGGAGCAAACAGGAUUAGAAACCCCUGUAGUCC
rnacentral:rRNA from 1 species